AUGGUUCGUUCCGGUGCGCGUGCUUCCCAGCGUGUUCUCUCCACGUCGUUGGAUUCCUCUUCCUCGGUUGGUGUUGUUGAUGGGAGGUUUCUUGCCGAAGAUUUGGGUGCUGAUGAGGCGCGGCGACGACGCCAGGCACGGCAAGAUAUCUGUCGUGGGAAGCGUCCUGUUGAUUCAUUGUCUGUUGGAAGGAACUUUCGGCCUGUACUUGAAGAACGGAUUGAUCCUUGUCUUGUUGCUGUUAGAGCUGCAUCUGAUGUGGAAGUUUUGUAUCGUCCCUAUUUUACUGCUGGUUGGUUGUCUGGUUCCUCGCGUACAUACCUGGUCAUGUCCAGCCCACACGCCAGCACGCUCUCGCUCAGCCCAGGUAUUUCUAUUCUGAUGGACGACGAACUUUCUUCCACCAACGAUGUGGGCUUCCAUCGCCCAGACGCAGAAAAAUGUUUCAUGGGAGCGAUCCAGCUUGCAACCCGUAGUUGCGUGCCUCUCCAUCGUAAUUACAUAGUCACCCCAUGUUCUCCCUCUAAUGCUCUUCCGUCUCCGCAUGUACUUGCUGCUCUCAUCGCUAGGUUCACCAGGCACUACAAGCUAUCCUUCCAUGAUGUCACUGACAAUAGGAUUGUCAUGACCUGCACCCACCACACCACUGGAAACCGUGUCUACAAUCUCUCUAGAAGCCACUCCACUAUUAUUAUCCAAGGUGUCCGCUAUAGAUUUAUGGUAGAUGACGCACUGCUCCAUCUAGGAAGAAUCUCUACCAAUCAGUACAUUAUUAUCUCAAUGAGAAAUCUGCCACUUCAUCUGUGGAAGAGCAUCAUAGUAGAGCAAAUCCUCAGUCCAUAUUGCUCCUUAGAUUAUGUCACACAGGACUCACUCUUAAUAGAAUAUCCAUCCACUUUUACAUGCUAUGCGUGGGCCAGUCCAUCCAUCAUGGUGCCUCCAACCAUACAAGUGAACGUGUCCGACGAGGAUGCGUACACCGCAGACCAACAGAUGAUCUUCUUUAGCGCAUAUAAUGUAAAUCUGUUCAUCAGCGAGUACAGAAUCGGGGCCCACCCAGUGAAACAGCCUUACUGCCCAACCGUGCCAAUAACCAGUUCUGGAAGCAAACCAAUCCAAUGCUUUAUUUCCCAGAGGUUUAUCGAUCCCGCCUAG
rnacentral:rRNA from 1 species